rnacentral:rRNA from 1 species
UGGCUCAGUAACACGUCAAUAAUCUGCCCUUAGGUUCUGGAUAACCUCGGAAAACUGAGGCUAAAACAGGAUAGGAAAAUAAUUCUGGAAUGAUUAUUUUCUUAAACGCAAGGCCUAAGGAUGAGUUGGCGGUGGAUUAGGCUGUUGGCGGGGUAAAGGCCCACCAAACCGAAGAUCCAUACGGGCCAUGAGAGUGGUAGCCCGGAGAAGGACACUGAGAAACUGGUCCUAGCCCUACGGGGUGCAGCAGGCGCGAAACCUUUACAAUGCACGCAAGUGUGAUAAGGGGAUCCCAAGUGCUUUACUUUUAGUAAGGCUUUUUUCAAUGUUAAAUCCAUUGAAGAAUAAGUGGUGGGUAAGACGGGUGCCAGCCGCCGCGGUAACACCCGCGCCACAAGUGGUAAUCGCGAUUAUUGGGCCUAAAGCGUCCGUAGCCGGUCUGAAAAAUCCCUUGUGAAUUUGUUGCUCCUAAGGCAACAGCGUGCAGGGGGCACUCUCAGACUAGAAAUCAGGAGGGGUCAGGAGUAUUUCAGGGGGAGCGGUAAAACACGUCACUAGCGUUCCUGGAUAUAAACGUUAUGACGUUUACAUUGUUAUAAUCCCUGAAAGACUACCAGUGGCGAAGGCGCCUGACCAGAAUGAUUUUGACGGUGAGGGACGAAAGCCAGGGGAGCAAAACGGAUUAGAUACGAGAAAUUUUGAGGUAAUUGUGAGUGAGUUCACUCGCAUUUUACAAAUUUCUGGAAUUAGCUUCGUAAAUUUUUGUUCAGAAAACUGCUUUUACGAAAAUUAAUUCAAGAUAUAAUCAAAAUUUACUCGCUAAUUACCCGAGUAGUCCUGGCUGUAAACGCUGCGAGCUAGGUGUUGCAUAUUCCUGUGAAUAUGCAGUGUCGAAGCGAAGGUGUUAAGCUCGCCGCCUGGGAAGUAUGGUCGCAAGACUGAAACUUAAAGGAAUUGGCGGA